CUUUUUAACUGUGAAUCAGCUGUCGUCAGCAAUUACAAAAAGUUCCAUUCCAUCUUCCACAGGUUUAGAUAUAGUCCCCAUCUAGUUAUGGUUUGAGAGACAAUUAUCAUGUAGUGUUAGCGUUGUUAGCCUCUUCCUUUUUUCCCAUUUUACUGUUAAUGUUCUGCAAUAUUCCGUCUUCUUUCUCCUAUGCAUUUUUUUCAAGAUUGCUUUAUGUUGGAAUCAAAAUUUAAUCACUAUGACUGGUAUAGUCAUAUUAUAAAGAAAAAAGUUGCUAUAAAAAAAUUUAAUAACUAGUAUGAAACAGAGGGAUAUCAAAUCGUGUGUACUUUCUAAUCCUUAUUUUUCAGAGAGGAAUAACUAGUAUGGCAGUUGCUGUAAAAGCUGCCAUAAUUUUUUCACAUAUAAAAUGCUUUGUUAUCUAUUUGCAGGCAUGGUUGCUGGAAAGAGAAAAUUAUACUAAGAUAAUUUUAACACUUAAGUUCUGCAUGACGAUCUUGGUGUCAUCUCAUAAUUACGUUUAUUCUGAUGGUAAACAAUUGUAAUUUGCAAGUAUGAGAGAUUGGUCCCAGUGAUAAAACUCUUAAGCUUAUCUCUUAAGAGUAGACAAUUUGGACUGGGAACUUCCCUUGAUUACCCGAACAGUAUUGAAAGGACUGAUUGUUAUGUGCACAUAACUAUCAAUUUGAAUUAUUAACAUAUAUGUUUUUUUAGUGGUUGAAAACCUUUUUGUUAUAGCAAAUAACCUGUUGAGGUGACAAAGUUGGGUCUAUGGUUCACUGUCUCUAAUGACUAAGCUAUACGUUUGCUUGUGCUACUUACCCCAUUUUUGUAUGUCCAACUGAAACAAUUAACUAGGAUUACACAAAAACCAAACCUUUCAUCUACCAAUAAAUGAAAUUUACCAUUUGAAGGGAAGAUAAAAAAUAAAGCCUAAUAAGUUGAGUAGAUGUUUGAGCAUGCAGAGAUCUUGAACACCAUUUCAGUAACUGCCACUUUUCCUGAGAGAAAUUAAAAGACUUGUUUUGAGCCCUCUGUUGUAUUCAGAGUAAUUUUUCGUUUGCUGCUUUCCCUGUCUUAUUUUUCUUCUUUCCUUUCUGGGAAAUAUUAAAGUGAGUGAAGGCAUUGCUGGCUACGUUAAGUUCAUGCUAUUUGCUUUAGUAAAUUUGUAUUUUGACUGCCAUAACUGACUUAUAUUUCUCCUUUAUUUUAGGUAUAGUUGGAUCUACUAAAGAUUCUCUGGAUACUGCAUAUAGUCGUGAUUUAAGAUGCCAUAGUUUCUCUAGGAAAAGAAAUAAUGGCUCAAUUUCUUGUGUUUCCAUGCAUUCUUAUUUUUUCUUGGGGGUAACUUGAACACAUUCUUAUUAUUUUGAUAAUUCAGUACUUUUUUUUUAACUCAAGAAGACAAGAAAGUUGAUGUAUUGAGCUUGAUGUUCUUGUUUUAAGUGAAUGACGUUGUUUUGACCUUCUAUUACUAUAUUCGAGUUAAUUUUUCUUGUGA